rnacentral:rRNA from 1 species
AUUGAACGCUGGCGGCAGGCUUAACACAUGCAAGUCGAGCGGAGAUGAGGUGCUUGCACCUUAUCUUAGCGGCGGACGGGUGAGUAAUGCUUAGGAAUCUGCCUAUUAGUGGGGGACAACAUUCCGAAAGGAAUGCUAAUACCGCAUACGCCCUACGGGGGAAAGCAGGGGAUCUUCGGACCUUGCGCUACUAGAUGAGCCUAAGUCGGAUUAGCUAGUUGGUGGGGUAAAGGCCUACCAAGGCGACGAUCUGUAGCGGGUCUGAGAGGAAGAUCCGCCACAAUGGGACUGGACCACGGCCCAGACUCCUACGGGAGGCAGCAGUGGGGAAUAUUGGAAAAUGGGCGGAAGCCUGAUCCAGCCAUGCCGCGUGUGUGAAGAAGGCCUUUUGGUUGUAAAGCACUUUAAGCGAGGAGGAGGCUACCUGGAUUAAUACUCUAGGAUAGUGGACGUUACUCGCAGAGUAAGCACCGGCUAACUCUGUGCCAGCCGCCGCCGUAAUAC